rnacentral:rRNA from 1 species
AUACGUAGGUGGCAAGCGUUGUCCGGAAUUAUUGGGCGUAAAGCGCGCGCAGGUGGUUCCUUAAGUCUGAUGUGAAAGCCCCCGGCUCAACCGGGGAGGGUCAUUGGAAACUGGGGAACUUGAGUGCAGAAGAGGAUAGUGGAAUUCCAAGUGUAGCGGUGAAAUGCGUAGAGAUUUGGAGGAACACCAGUGGCGAAGGCGACUGUCUGGUCUGUAACUGACACUGAGGCGCGAAAGCGUGGGUAGCAAACAGGAUUAGAUACCCUGGUAGUCCACGCCGUAAACGAUGAGUGCUAAGUGUUGGGGGGUUUCCGCCCCUCAGUGCUGCAGCUAACGCAUUAAGCACUCCGCCUGGGGAGUACGGUCGCAAGACUGAAACUCAAAUGAAUUGACGGGG